rnacentral:rRNA from 1 species
UACGGGGGGGGCAAGCGUUGUUCGGAAUUACUGGGCGUAAAGGGCUCGUAGGUGGCCAACUAAGUCAGACGUGAAAUCCCUCGGCUUAACCGGGGAACUGCGUCUGAUACUGGAUGGCUAGAGUUUGGGAGAGGGAUGCGGAAUUCCAGGUGUAGCGGUGAAAUGCGUAGAUAUCUGGAGGAACACCGGUGGCGAAGGCGGCAUCCUGGACCAACACCGACGCUGAGGAGCGAAAGCCAGGGGAGCAAACGGG